GUGGGUGGGCGCGCGGGGCUGUAGGAUCCACCCGCCUCGGGAUCCACGGAGCUGGGUCCCCGCCGCGCCCCGCGGACCCCACGGCCCUUCCGCUCCGCUCGGCCUCCACCACCCUGGCCUCGAGCUGCAGCCGUUCCAAGGACAACGGCCAUCCCUGUGGCUGGGCCGCCGGCUACGCAAUGCUGUCUCUCUUGCUGAUCCUCUCAGGCCUGGGCCGGCUGACCUCCGCGGGCCCACGCCACUUAUUCCAUCAAAAUUGAGGGGAAACCAUACACUUCCUGCUUGAAAAACAGUCAUUUUUACACCCACAUUUCCUGGUGUAUUUAUACAACAAAUCAGGAACAUUGUAUGCAGAUUCUUCAUUUUCAAAGGGUCAUUGCUUUUACCAAGGAUAUGCUGCAGACAUUCCAAAAUCAGUUGUGGCACUACGCACCUGUUCUGGACUCAGAGGAUUACUGCAGUUAGAUAAUAUCAGUUAUGGUAUUGAACCAUUGGAAUCUUCACCUACAUAUAAGCAUGUAGUUUAUCGAAUUAAAAAUGAUGCUAUUGGUCAUUCCUCCUUUCAAGAAAAUUAUCCUGUGGCUCAAUAUAUAGAUCAGUCCUACAGGAUUCUUGUCAAAUCAGACAUAAAUUCAGGUGCCAUGCUAUCGAAAAGAACUCUGAAAAUACAAAUCAUUAUGGAUAAAGCCAUGUAUGCUUAUAUGGGCUCCACGGUGGCAGUUGCAGUUGAGAAAGUUUUCCAAAUCUUUGGUCUUAUCAACACUAUGUUUUCCCAGCUUAAUAUGACAGUUAUGCUGUCUUCCUUGGAGAUCUGGUCAGAUCAAAAUAAGAUUUCAACAAGUGGUCAUGCUGAUGAAAUACUACAGCGAUUUUUGCCUUGGAAACAAAAAUUUUUGUUUCAAAGGUCUCAUGAUAUGACAUACUUAUUAAUUUAUAGGAACCAUUCUACUUAUGUGGGAGCAACAUAUCACGGAAUGGCAUGCGAUCCAAAGUUUGCAACAGGAAUUGCUCUGUAUCCAAAGAAAAUCACUGCAGAGGCCUUUUCAGUUGUUAUGGCACAGUUGCUUGGAAUUAAUCUGGGAUUGACAUAUGAUGAUAUCUACAAUUGUUACUGUCCAGGAACUACAUGCAUAAUGAAUCCUGAUGCGAUAUGAUCCCAUGGUAUGAAGUUUUUUAGCAGUUGCAGCAUGGAUGGAUUUAAACGGAUAGUUCUGCAGCCUGAACUUAAAUGUUUUCAGGAUAAAACAGUUUCAAAAAUGACUUACCGAAAAUCUUCAACUUGUGGCAAUGGAAUUUUGGAACCUACAGAGCAGUGUGAUUGUGGCUAUAAAGAGAGACAGGAUUUCACCAUGUUGGCCAGGCUAGUCUCAAACUUCGGACCUCAGGUUAUCCACCUGCCUCAGCCUCUCAAGGUGCUGGGAUUACAAACCAUACACAACCCCAUUUUGAAAAGGAGAAAUAGACAAGAAGAAAUGGGUAACAGGCCUCAAGCAAGUCUGAAACCCAAGAGAGCCAAUGAUGGACAUUCAGACUCCUGAAUAAUUUCCUUUGAUGACAUGUCCUGCAUCUUCUAUAAACAGGCAUGCACUCAUAAAAAAUGCUGUAAUCCUGCAGAUUGUACUCUAGUUAGAUCUGCAGAAUGUGGCACUGGAUCAUGCUGUAACAAUAAAACUUGUACGAUCCACGAAAGAGGCCAUGUCUGCAGAAAAAGUGUAGAUAUGUGUGAUUUUCCAGAAUAUUGCAAUGGAACAUCUGAGUUUUGUGUACCUGAUGUGAAAGCUGCUGAUUUAGAAUACUGCAGUAAUAAGACUAGCUAUUGCUUUAAAGGAGUAUGCAGAGAAAGGGAUAGACAGUGUUCACAGUUAUUUGGAAAAUUUGCUAAGUCUGCUAAUCUUCUGUGUACAGAAGAAGUGAAUUUUCAAAAUGACAAAUUUGGAAACUGUGGUUCCCGUUGUGAUUUUUUUGAUAUCCUUUGUGGAAAGAUUGUUUGUCACUGGAUACAUUCAGAACUAGUACCAAUGACAGACUUAGACAUACAAUAUACUUACCUUAGAGGUCACGUAUGUUUGUCCGCACAUGCAAGAAAUGGUUCAAAACAAUCGGAGACCUAUACAGAAGAUAUAACUGCAUGUGGCCAACACAAGGUAUGUCACUCCCGAGAAUGCAGAAAUUUUAGUGAACUAAAUAUAACAAAAUAUACUACAAAUUGUGGACAGAAUGGGAUUUGCAAUGAACAUUUCCAUUGUCAAUGUGAUCCUGGUUAUGCUCCUCCAGAUUGUGAGCCAGCAAUGUCAUCACCAGGAGGAAGUAUCAAUGAUGGAUUUUGGCUUACAGUAGAAAAAAGUGUACCCUUGCUUCCAAAACGACGUGCUGCUCCUAAAAACAAUGGUCUUUUGAUCAGUUUCUACAUUUUUUCACCUUUGCUCAUUUUAAUUGCUAUUGUUAGUCUUAAAUGGAAUAAAAUGAAGAGAUUUCGGAGCAAAGUGGGAACAGUAAGCAGCAGAUCUAUCUCAGAAGACAGCGGUAGUAACAGCAGCCAGUCACAGAGUUAAAGUAACCAAGUGAUAAAAUCAAAGCCAUCGGAUGAAGAAAGGAUAUUACCAAGAAACUCACCAUUAACUUAAAACUUUCAACUUCACAGAAAAAAAUAAAUCAUAUGACUAAAAGCAUA
rnacentral:lncRNA from 1 species